CGCCGAAAGUCCAAGGGUUCCUGCUUAAAGCUAAUCUGAGCAGGGUAAGCCGGCCCCUAAGCCGAGGCCGAAAGGCGUAGGCGAUGGGAACUAGGUUAAUAUUCCUAGGCCAGGAGGAUGUGACGGAUCAUGAAGGUUGUUCACCCUUAUCGGAUUGGGUGGGCCGCUGAUUGGUUCCUGGAAAUAGCCCUCCAUGAGACCGUACCCUAAACCAACACAGGUGGACUGGUAGAGCAUACCAAGGCGCUUGAGAGAACGAUGUUGAAGGAACUCGGCAAAA
rnacentral:rRNA from 1 species